ACUUGUGGCGUGUAAAAUGUGGAACCAAAAGGGGCAUCCUAGAUGUAGAGAAGUUGAAAAAAGGUGAGGCAUGUAUUGAGUAUAAAGGCUGCUUGUACAGUCCACCUGAGUUUGAGAAGCUUGCAGGAAAAGAGCCAUGUAGAAAAUGGAAGUCAACUAUUUUCUACAAUGAACUACCUCUGCAGUUUUGGUUUGAGGAAGGCUAUCUAACCACUACAGGAUAUAGACCAAAGAAAAAAAAACGAAAAUCAUGCGACUCAACAGAAGAAAGUGAGGAAGAUCAUGUUGACGAUGAAGAUGAGGAUGAAGAACGGGAAGAUGAGCAUAUGGAUGAAGAGGAUGUUGGUGGUGAUGAGUCUAGCAGUGAGGAUGAUGAGGAUGAAGAAAGUGAUAAUGAUGAAGACGAGACUGCGCCUGCUGUUGCCUCUAACCAUACUGACAGCAGUGAUAUCAAAGAGAGAGUAACAGCUACAAUUCCAACACCUGGAAAACAUGCAUUACAGAUGAAAGAAGUAAAGGGUAUCAUUAACAUCCUUCCUGAGAAGACUAGACAUCAUCCUGACAUGCCAAGAUCUGAAGUCACUGAAAAUCCCAGAGAUGUGGCAAAAAACACAGCAAUCAAACAGCAAAAUGUUAACAAAGAACCUGAAAAGAAACGGAAGAAGACAACAAGCAGCACAAUUUCGACACCUGUGAAACCUGCACUAAAGAUCAAAGAAGAAAAGGGUGUCGUUAAUAGCCUUCCUGAGAGAGCAAGAGAUCAUCCUGACAUGACAAGAUCUGAGGUCACUGAAAAUCCCAGAGAUGUGGCAAAAAACACAGCAAUCAAACAGCAAAAUGUUAAGAAACAACCUGAAAAGAAACUGAAGAAGACAACAAGCAGCACAAUUUCGACACCUGUGAAACCUGCACUAAAGAUCAAAGAAGUAAAGGGCGUCGUUAAUAGCCUUCCUGAGAAGGCUAGACAUCAUCCUGACACGACAAGAUCUGAAGUCACUGAAAAUCCCAGAGAUGUGGCAAAAAACACAGCAAUCAAACAGCAAAAUGUUAAGAAACAACCUGAAGAGGAACUGAAGAAGACAACAAGCAGCACAAUUUCGACACUUGUGAAACCUGCACUAAAGAUCAAAGAAGUAAAGGGUGUGAUUAAAUUCCUUCCUGAGCACCCCAAGCAGAGAAGCCCAGACCUCCACCUCUUUCCCCCCUACACCUCCUCCACCUUGUCCGGGGGAUCGCCAAGGCAUUCCCAGGCCGGCCGAGAGUGUCACGGGUUGCCGGGGCAAGCCGAGUGAAUUAUUAAAGGACCCGAAAUGCAGAUGGUUUCUGAGAAGACUAGAGAUCAUCCUGACACGACAAGAUCUGAGGUCACUGAAAAUCCCAGAGAUGUGGCAAAAAACACAGCAAUCAAACAGCAAAAUGUUAAGAAACAACCUGAAGAGGAACCGAAGAAGACAACAAGCAGCACAAUUUCAACACCUGUGAAACCUGCACUAAAGAUCAAAGAAGUAAAGGGCGUCGUUAAUAGCCUUCCUGAGAGAGCAAGAGAUCAUCCUGACAUGACAAGAUCUGAGGUCACUGAAAAUCCCAGAGAUGUGGCAAAAAACACACCAAUCAAACAGCAAAAUGUUAAGAAACAACCUGAAGAGGAACUGCAAGAACGCAAGGAAGAUCAUGUUGAACAUGAAGAUGAGGAUGAAGAACAGGAAGAUGAGCAUAUAGAUGAAGAUGAUGUUGGUGAAGAUGAGCCUAGAGCUGAGAGAGAUGAGGAUGAAGAAGGUGAUAUUGAUGAAGUCGAGACUGCGCCUGCUGUUGCCUCUAACCAUACUGACAGCAGUGAUAUCAAAGAGAGAGUAACAGAUACAAUUCCAACACCUGGAAAACAUGCAUUAGAGAUGAAAGAAGUAAAGGGUAUCAUUAACAUCCUUCCUGAGAAAGCUAUAGAUCAUCCUGGCAUGCCAAGAUCUGAAUUCUCUGGAAAUAACAGAGAUGUUGCAACAAACACAGCAAUCAAACAGCUGAAUGUCAAGAAAGAACCUGAAGAGGAACUGAAAGAACGCAAGGAAGAUCAUGUUGAACAUGAAGAUGAGGAUGAGGAACAGGAAGAUGAGCAUAUAGAUGAAGAUGAUGUUGGUGAAGAUGAGCCUAGAGCUGAGAAAGAUAAGGAUGAAGAAGGUGAUAUUGAUGAAGUCGAGACUGCGCCUGCUGUUGCCUCUAACCAUACUGACAGCAGUGAUAUCAAAGAGAGAGUAACAGCUACAAUUCCAACACCUGGAAAACAUGCAUUAGAGAUGAAAGAAGUAAAGGGUAUCAUUAACAUCCUUCCUGAGAAGACUAGACAUCAUCCUGACAUGCCAAGAUCUGAAGUCAGUGGAAAUAACAAAGAUGUGGCAAAAAACACAGCAAUCAAACAGCAAAAUGUUAAACAACCUGAAGAGGAACUGAAGAAGACAACAAGCAGCACAAUUUCAACACCUGUGAAACCUGCACUAAAGAUCAAAGAAGAAAAGGGUGUCGUUAAUAGCCUUCCUGAGAGAGCAAGAGAUCAUCCUGACAUGACAAGAUCUGAGGUCACUGAAAAUCCCAGAGAUGUGGCAAAAAACACACCAAUCAAACAGCAAAAUGUUAAGAAACAACCUGAAGAGGAACUGCAAGAACGCAAGGAAGAUCAUGUUGAACAUGAAGAUGAGGAUGAGGAACAGGAAGAUGAGCAUAUAGAUGAAGAUGAUGUUGGUGAAGAUGAGCCUAGAGCUGAGAAAGAUGAGGAUGAAGAAGGUGAUAAUGAUGAAGACAAGAGUGUGCCUUCUGUUGCCUCUAACCAUACUGACAGCAGUGAUAUCAAAGAGAGAGUAACAGCUACAAUUCCAACACCUGGACAACAUGCAUUAGAGAUGAAAGAAGUAAAGGGUAUCAUUAACAUCCUUCCUGAGAAGACUAGACAUCAUCCUGACAUGCCAAGAUCUGAAGUCAGUGGAAAUAACAAAGAUGUGGCAAAAAACACAGCAAUCAAACAGCAAAAUGUUAAACAACCUGAAAAGAAACGGAAGAAGACAACAAGCAGCACAAUUUCAACACCUGUGAAACCUGCACUAAAGAUCAAAGAAGUAAAGGGUGUCGUUAAUAGCCUUCCUGAGAAAGCUGGAGAUCAUCCUGACAUGACAAGAUCUGAGGUCACUGAAAAUCCCAGAGAUGUGGCAAAAAACACAGCAAUCAAACAGCAAAAUGUUAAGAAACAACCUGAAGAGAAACUGCGUCCUUCCUGUGAAGCUCUGCCCGUGUCAGAUGAGUGUGAACAUAAAGAUGUCCCCUGCUCUGGCCACAGUGUAGCUGAAGUACAAUCCAUGAUGCCAGAGAUGAGUGUGGACAUGUCAGAGGCCCGGUUGCCUGGGCCCUCAGCCAGCUCUGGCUUGAAUACAAUGGAUCUUGAUCAACUGAAGAGGAAAAAAAUAAAAAUGCAACUGAAGGUUUUAAAAUUACAAGAAGAGUAUUACACUUUGAAAAUAAAAGAACUGAAAAAAUGAGGAUUAAUGUAAAGCUGACAUUGCAGACAAUAAAUUAAAAGAUCGCUGUUUACAUCCACAAACUGACACACGUUAUCUGGAGGUUUCUUGGGUGGAAUGUUACUUUUGACAAAAGCUACAAAAUCAAGUGUGCUGCAUUUAUACACCGUACUUUGUCGUUGCUGUACUCAGGUUUCCUUUAGUAUUGUUGAUUACCAUGUUUUACUUUGUUAUUAGAAUUAAACAAAUAGCUGAUAUUUCCUUCCUGUAAAAUGUGAAUAAACAAUAUUGAUGCUUUUUAUCUGUAAAUUUUGCAAGUGUUAUGAAACUGUGUUUCCUUUGGACUUUGCCCAACCUGUAGUAAUAGUUGUAAGAAGUAGCCUUUAAACAGCAUCGUGCAAUGUCUUGAGCCACAGCUCAUUUCUUUAUGUUUUGCUUCCAAGGAGCAAGAACUUUUAGAAAUUUGCAAGAAAAUAACAAUAUGUGCUCUUUUACUUUGAAGCAUUGUUAGUAAUACAUCAAUCAUAUCUGUGACAGAUGAGCAUAACUGUUUAAAUUCCAAAGAAAUUAGACCCCCCCAAAAAAUUCAUGUAAAUUUGUCCAACCAUAAUGAGAAAAUAUGAAAUGAAUAAAGGAGAGUUACAGUGAUGUGCAAAAGUCUUGAGCCAGGACACGUCAUGCAGAGAUAUGUUAAGUGUCCAGCUAAUAGAUCUUUGGGCAUCAGUUGGUUCCACAAUAAAAAAAAUUCUGCCUAUCAAACUGUGUUAUCUUUGGAAUUUUUCAUAGAUUAAUCUAAAGAAAUUGGAAG
ensembl:lncRNA